GGGAUGGGGUGGGGAAUGUUGGGAAUUUUGGGAAUGGGGUUGGGAAUGUUGGGAAUUUUGGGAAUGGGGUUGGGAAUGGUGGGGAUGUUGGCAGUUGGGGGAUAAUGGUCAGGCUUUGGCGGGAAGGGGUCCCGGUGUUGGUUCAGGGGUGUUUGUUGGGUUUACAGGAGAAAUUUUGGGUUUUUCAAAGAGUGGAGAGCAGUGGGAAAUGGGAGGGAAAAUCCUAAAGAAAUGCAGUUCUCCAUAUCCCAAAUCCUGCUAUCCAAACCCCACAUCCCAAAUCCUGAUUUCCACAUCCCAAAUCCCAAAUCCUGAUUUCCAAAUCCCAAAUCCUCAUCCCAUGUCCUGUCGUUCCCAGUUUCCUCCCCCACGGUGGGCAAACCCUACAAGUGCAGCUCGUGUGGCCGCAGCUACAAACAGCAGAGCAGCCUGGAGGAGCACAGGGAGCGCUGCCACGGCUUCCUGCAGAGGGAGAGCCCCGCACAGACAGGAGAGGAAAUCCGGGAGCUGGACAUGGUGCCCGAGGCGUUGCUGCACCCUGAGCGCCCCACCUUUAUCGAGCGGUUGGCAGGGAGCUUUACCAAGAGGAAACGAUCCACGCCGCAGAAAUUUGUGGGUAAGGAAAAGAUGGAAAUGAUGGAAAAAUGGAAAAAUUCCCUCGGCGGGAAGUGAGGGGCGGCCUCAGGGAUGGCGGGGUGUGAGGGGGGGGAGCGGCGCGGGAAGGGGAAUCCCCACACAAAAGCCUCAAAAUGUAUCGCAAAUUAAGACAAAAACCGGCUCAAAUUGAAAGAUAAAUUCAAAUCAAAAGAAAAGCAUCUCUUAAAAAAAAAUUCUAAAAAAUUUCCCCUCACAUUUUAAAAAACCCCUGCAUUAAAAAAUUCCAGCAAAUCAGCCAAAAAAAACCUUAAAUCAACAAAAACCCAGAGGAAAUGCUCCAAGCCGCAGAAUUUUUUCAUAAUUUCCAUC
rnacentral:lncRNA from 1 species